CAUCCUCCAAGGCUAAAUACUCCUGACUGACCGAUAGUGAACCAGUACCGUGAGGGAAAGGCGAAAAGAACCCCGGCGAGGGGAGUGAAAAAGAACCUGAAACCGUGUACGUACAAGCAGUGGGAGCACAGGUUUACCUGUGUGACUGCGUACCUUUUGUAUAAUGGGUCAGCGACUUAUAUUCUGUAGCAAGGUUAACCGAAUAGGGGAGCCGGAGGGAAACCGAGUCUUAACCGGGCGUUAAGUUGCAGGGUAUAGACCCGAAACCCGGUGAUCUAGCCAUGGGCAGGUUGAAGGUUGGGUAACACUAACUGGAGGACCGAACCGACUAAUGUUGAAAAAUUAGCGGAUGACUUGUGGCU
rnacentral:rRNA from 1 species